ensembl:lncRNA
AAACACAAUGCCACAUCCUCAGAGGGACACAGCUACACCCUUGUGGUCCUCGGGUGAGCUUGGAGCCAUCGGGAUCUUCUCAGGGACGUGGCUGCUGGCAGACACGGGGACAGGAUUCAGGCAGAGAUGCUUCCUUCUUGGGGUCUCCAGCCCUCUCCUGAUUAGAUCUGCACUCCUGGAAAUGGGCUCCCUGCCACCAAAGAGGGCAGGACCUUCCACCUACUCCUCCGAUCACGAGACCUCCCUCCUACAAGGACGCUUUUGUUGAGUUGGGCCAGGGUGCUGAGAAAGGAACCGAAUUACAGAGAGUCCCAAACAUGUGGGGCUGAAAGAACAGUCUGCGGCUAAUUUAAUAAGCACUGGGUUCAUUUGUGCAACAAUCCUGCCUGUGGAAAAUGAGUUUCAAGGAUCCUGAGGUCUCACCAAGGGUUCCCACCAGCGUCGUGUGGUGGCUGAACCAUCUGCAGUCUUACAGAUGAGCAGCUCAGACACGGAGAGGCCAGGCAGCCUUCAAAAGGUCACACAGAGGUGACUCACAUGUGAGGAAACUCCAUCAUCAAAAUGUGGAAGUGGCAGGUGGAGGUGGUCAAUGUCGCAUACAAAGGAAAUGGAGUCAGACACCCAUGGAAUCACUCCAGGCUGACCCCACGCUAAUUACUGGGGUUCACAGUCCUAGGAAUUGCAAAGGAGGGAAACAGACAUCUGCACAGAGCCUUGGUGCCUGGAUUCACCCAAGAAUCUCCACAUCCACGUAAGCAUCAGAUUUUGUGAUUUCCACGGUAGUGCAAUGACCUCGAGGCUCACACCUCUGAAGAAGUGGCCAGGAUUUUCUGGCACCAAAGACCGCUGUGGGCUCUUGCCUCAAGUUAUCCAGCAGAUCCUCAGAGGUGUGAACUUCCUUCAGUAAGAAAAUGCACUUCCUCUCAGGGAAAAUACAUUGGAAUGUACAUCCUGCCAAGCAUCCAUUCAUCCCACGGUCACUGGAAACUUGGUGUUGCAGUGAGGAAGUGUGUCAAGGCUGGCUUCCCCGGAGACCUGCUUCCUGGUGGCAUCAAAAGAUGCAGAAGUUUUUGUCAGCUCACUCAACGAGAGUCUAUCUGUUCAUGCUGGCCUGGUUCAUUCAUACUCAACUUCCAAGACAUUGUUGCCUAAAGACCAAAACGACAAAUCAUCCAUUUUCAUUGAGAAAGAGAUCUCGAGAGGAGGUACUUAAAAGCUUCCAUUGGCAAUUUUUUUUUUUAAUACGGAAACAUAUCUGAGAAGCCAAAUCAAUAUCAGAACGCUGCCCUGUGGAUAGACAGAGCUGAGUAAAGUGAGACGUUGUUCAUGUCAUGACCGCUUGAUACACCCGAUUACACUAGAUGGAGUGUAGACCAGAAGGAAGGGGGUCCUCUCUCAGCAACACUGGAAGUCAGUCCAACAAAUGCCCAUGGUUCUGCACCUCUUUCUCAGUAUUCCUGGCCAGUCAUGAAAACUCCUGCAAUGGCAUUAUUUCCUCAUAAUGGAUAUGUUUCAGUGUUCCAAGAUUACCACUCACUUUUCACUUUGAAUUCUAAAUAAAGGCUUUCCUUUUGGGGAGGGACUCUGUAAGUACUUGGCUUAGUAUUUUUAAAAUGUUCUAGCUUGCUGUGGUGCGGUGUCACGUGUCUGUGGGUUAGCUGUGCCGUGUCCUUGUCUUGGAGUGCCCUCCCCGCCCUGCUGUACCCACACCCCCAACACCUCUGUCUGCUAAACUCUCAGUCAUCCUUUUCAUUCCAGGGACAAGUGUCAUCCCCUUCAGAAGCUCCCACACCCAGAGCAGGCUUAGAAGGUCUUUGCUCUGUGUUCCUAUGUUGGAGAAGGAAAUGGCAACCCACUCCAGUAUUCUUGCCUGGAGAAUCCCAUGGACAGAGGAGCCUGGCAGGCUACAGUCCAUGGGGUUUCAAGAGUUGGACAUGACUUAGCGACUAAACCACCACCUAUGUUGUUUGUUUAUCCUUUAUUCUAGCCUUUGUCAUAGGCUGCAAAGGCAGGCUUGUCUAGCCGUCUUCCCCACUAGAUUGCAAACUCUCAGGAAACAGGAACUUGGUCCAUCUCAUGGACCCGGACACAGUGCCUGGUACAGGGCAGGUAUUAGAUAGGUGCUGAUACUUGAUAAAAUCAGUGAGUGGCAUUAACAUUAGCCUACAGCUCUCCUAAUGAUGUCUCAAAAGCAUGCAAACCCCAUUUUAUUCUUCAGAUGACUUUUGACGCCUCUCGUUUAUAAAAGGCAAUGUUCAUAAAAACCUUAGGGUUGGCUUUCAAGGUGAUGAGAUGCGAACCUAGUCAGGUGAGCGAGCGUCACUAUCCUUGGGGGCACAUGGCUGCCAGAAAGAGGCGCUCUCUCCAUGCAUCUCUUCACUACCAAGCUGGUCAAGGAUGGAAACUGCAGGCUUCCCCUCAGUGUGUCCCAAAGCCCAUGGUCCUCCCUGUGGAGAAGCCCGACUGUCCCAAGCUGUGUCCUGAGGGGUUGGACAGCGAGAACCAACUUCCCUUUCCCUUCUGGUGGUUUCUCUUGGUGCAGACCAAAAUGAAAAGUUAUCUGAAAAUUCUGGAAUCAGACACACGUUUGUGGGUAAGAAAGUGAGAAGAAAAAGAUGAACUAUCUUUGUGGAGACAUGGAGAAUGUACUUUGCUGCUGGGUGGGUUUGGUGACCCUGACUCUCUUAGGAAUAAAGGAAAGCUCUCAGGAGCCUUUUGUGUUCUUGAUUAUAUUGUUCUAUUAGCUAAAUCUCCAGUGGUUCCCCCCCACUCCCCCUGGAGAAGGAAAUGUCAACCCACUCCAGUAUUCUUGCCUGGAAAAUUCCAUGGACAGAGGAGCCUGGUGGGCUACAGUCCAUGGGGUCGCAGAGUCAGCC